GCUAGAAGUCCAAGAUCCAGAUUCCAACAAGAGUUGCGAAGACUGCUGCUGUGUCCUGCUUGCCGUCUGCUGUACACGGUGGGGUGUCACUCCAGGAUGUUGCUUCGGACAUCUGCAACCAUCCCAGACAAGGACCAUGGUUUGUUUGAUGAUGACUGUGUGAUCGCUCUGUACUCUUACUGUGGCUCCC